ACGACCUUACUUGAACAGGAUCUGUUCUAUAGGCUCGUAUCUUUGUAUUCUUGAUUCCUAAGAAGACAGAAACCCACGUUUGGUUGAUGAACCAAGACCAUGGAGCUAGAGCGUGAUUAACAGAGCCUUUGGUCUAGACCAUGGCUUGGUAGAGGAUUGUUGCUAGCCCAUCUGAUGGGUCUUGGCAUGGCUCCAUGGUUGGUCUAGACCAUGGCUUGGUAGAGGAUUGUUGCUAGCCCAUCUGAUGGGUCUUGGCAUGGCUCCAUGGUUGUCUGACAGACA
rnacentral:snoRNA from 2 species